CAGCAGCCGCGGUAAUACAGAGGGUGCAAGCGUUAAUCGGAAUUACUGGGCGUAAAGCGCGCGUAGGUGGUUUGUUAAGUUGGAUGUGAAAGCCCCGGGCUCAACCUGGGAACUGCAUCCAAAACUGGCAAGCUAGAGUACGGUAGAGGGUGGUGGAAUUUCCUGUGUAGCGGUGAAAUGCGUAGAUAUAGGAAGGAACACCAGUGGCGAAGGCGACCACCUGGACUGAUACUGACACUGAGGUGCGAAAGCGUGGGGAGCAAACAGGAUUAGAUACCCCCGUAGUCCCUGUCUCUAUACA
rnacentral:rRNA from 1 species